CAAUAGCAUAUAUUAACGUUGUUGCAGUUGAAAAGCUCGUAGUUGAACUUUUGGUAGGAGCGACCUGGCCUUGGGCGCAUGCCCUUGUUUGCCGUGUGUCGUAUCUGGCCAUCCUUUUCUUCGUUUUUCGGAGGAAUCUUUUACUGUGAGUAAACUGGAGUGCUCAAAACAAAACGUUUGUUUGGUACAUUAAAGCAUGGAAUAAUAAGAUAGGACCUGGUUACUAUUUUGUUGGUUUGCAUAGCUAGGUAAUGAUUAACAGGGACAGUUGGGGGUAUUCGUAUUUAAUUGUCAGAGGUGAAAUUCUUGGAUUUAUGAAAGACGAACGACUGCGAAAGCAUUUACCAAGGAUGUUUUCAUUAA
rnacentral:rRNA from 1 species